UGUGUGGAAUCAUGGCUUCAUUGACAGUCAUCCUGACCUAAGUUUUCAACUUCCUUUCUUCCUUAUCAUUUUGAGUGUGCUACCUAAGGUGGGAAAGAACCAUUUCGGGGCUUUGUGUGAAAAUUGAGUAUUUAAUAUCCACACAUGAAGGUGGGAAAGAAUUCAAUAAAUCAGUGACAUCUCUGUCUUUAGAAGGGAGACUGAUUAAAAGUCUUCCCUUGUGUCUUAGAUGAAGCUCCUGGAAAGGGCAGCUUGGCUUUUUGAUUUGAAGAAGAUAUAGUUAAUGGGUUGUUAUGUGCUCUUGAAGGGAACCCUCCUCUGGAUACAUUAUUGUAUGCUGGAAUUACCAUGGUAUUCUCUGUGAUGUCACUAAUGUUAUGGAAACAGAAGCUGCCCUCGUGCAUUUAGUUAGUAUUUAUUGGUUUACCCAGAGACAUGUUUUUCAGGAUGAUCAAGCUAUUUACAAAGAAAACAGAGAGCAUUGAGCACAAGAGAGAGAAGAAGACGAAAUUAGGACAUUUUUCUUGUUAUAAAAGUGAAAAAAUUAAACGAUCAGGUGUAAACCAGAGAGAGUAAACUCUGGACUGGUGUUCAGGAGCUUCCUGGAGAAGUUGGGCUUGGGUCACGCCUUCUAGGAUUAGGACUAAUGAUCUGAAACCUCUGGAUUCUUAAAGAAGCGACCCAGAGUCAAGAAUAUCUGAUGAAUGUUUGGCAGACAGCCAGCAAUUGACAACCAUGCAGUGGGUCUGUUAUGAGUUCCUAAGUUUCACUCUCAGUGAGAAAGAAAGCCAAUAGGAGCCACAGGGAUAAAAACUUUGACUCUCAGGGAAGAGUAUUGGACUUAAUCUUCAGAGGCCUCCUGUACAUGUCAUUGACAUGUUAUGACAAGAACAGAGAGUGUGAUACUCCCCUGGAUAUGUUUAAAGAUAUCAGAAUCAUUUGUUUUGAACAUACAUGAUUAGGGCUUGGUGAUCCAAAGCACUAUGGAGUCCAGGGUUUACCUGUAUAUAUCUAACAAUCAUGGCUGGGAGCAGGAGAGUAGCUAAUAGAUCUUGAAGAGAGCUUUCCUCACCUUUCAGUGCUUCAAAGUAUCUGUAGAUUUCCCCUUUCCUCAUGCUUCUUUUUGGGGACAUAGCAUGUUUUAUCCUAUGACUGGGCUGCUGUUCUUGUGGUUCCCUUGUGUUUUACUACAGGGUCUGCUAGAAAGGCAACAUCCCAACCUCCUAUCAUCAAUGAGCAAGCAGAGCAGAUUAAGAAGUUGGAGAAACCUGACUAUUGAGCUCCAGAAGAAGACCUAUUUUCUGUUGACUGGGCUCAUAGCUUGAUACUUGAAAUCUGGUAGACUACGCAAAGUGGAUCUGCUUUUGGAGGAAUUUGCUUACCUUGGAGGAGUUGGAAACAGUGAACAAGGAUUGAUCCACCACCUAAUCCCUUGCUGAGAACAAAGUCUACUCUUCACAGCCUGGUAACUUGCUUCUGUGGCCAGACAUGAAGGCUCUGAAGCAAAGUUGCAUCCUGUUGAUCUGUGAAUUAGCUGAUAGAGGCUAUCAACUUGGUCACAUGAAGCAUAUGAGAGGUUUGACAAGACAGUAUCAGGCCAUUUGUGACACUGCCCAUCCAAUGGAAACAUGGAAGUUUUGAGAAUCACAGAGUGGAGUCUCAUGUCUGAACUUUGACACCCAGGGGCUGCCAGCAUCAGGAGAAAGGUAACAUGGGGCUUUAAUAAACAUGCAUCAUUUAAUAAUUCCUAGUCUCUUCCCUUAUUUUACACUUCCCUGUCUGUAUUUUCCUAGUGGAUGUUGUACUUAAAUGUAGUAGUGCCUGCCUUUCAGGAGUAUAGAAGUUGUCACAUGUGGC